UCCUCCCUCUUGCUUCGUGCUUAACACAUGCAAGUCGAACGGAAAGGCCCUGCUUUUGUGGGGUGCUCGAGUGGCGAACGGGUGAGUAACACGUGAGUAACCUGCCCUUGACUUUGGGAUAACUUCAGGAAACGAGGGCUAAUACCGGAUAGGAGCUCCUGCUGCAUGGUGGGGGUUGGAAAGUUUAGGCGGUUGGGGAUGGACUCGCGGCUUAUCAGCUUGUUGGUGGGGUAGUGGCUUACCAAGGCUUCGACGGGUAGCCGGCCUGGGAGGGUGGGCGGACACAUUGCGAUUGAGAUGAGGCCCAGACUCGAACGGGAGGCAGCAGUGGAGAAGGGUGCAUAGUGGGCUGGAGGCUGAUGCAGCAACGCCGCGUGCGGGAGGACGGCCUGCGGGUUGUAAAGCGAUUUCGCGUGGUACGAAGCGUGAGUGACGGUAAUGGGUAAGGAAGCGCCGGCUAACUACGUG
rnacentral:rRNA from 1 species